UGGGGGAUAUUGCACAAUGGGCGAAAGCCUGAUGCAGCGACGCCGCGUGGGGGAUGAAGGCUUUCGGGUUGUAAACCUCUUUCGCUAUCGAACAAGGCCCGCUUAGGGUGGGUUGAGGGUAGGUGGAGAAGAAGCGCCGGCUAACUACGUGCCAGCAGCCGCGGUAAUACGUAGGGCGCGAGCGUUGUCCGGAAUUAUUGGGCGUAAAGAGCUUGUAGGCGGCUUGUUGCGCCUGCUGUGAAAACGCGGGGCUUAACUUCGCGCGUGCAGUGGGUACGGGCAGGCUUGAGUGUGGUAGGGGUGACUGGAAUUCCAGGUGUAGCGGUGGAAUGCGCAGAUAUCUGGAGGAACACCGAUGGCGAAGGCAGGUCACUGGGCCAUUACUGACGCUGAGGAGCGAAAGCAUGGGUAGCGAACAGG
rnacentral:rRNA from 1 species